rnacentral:tRNA from 1 species
UUAAAUGAAGCCAAAAUAGAGGCUUAUCACUGUUAAUGAUAGAAUUGAAAAUACUUCCAUUUAGA